rnacentral:tRNA from 1 species
GCAGGGAUGACGGUAGCUGGUAACCGGCUGGGUUGUGUCCCCGGAAUCGCCCGUUCGAACCGGGCUCCCUGUUCCA